GUUGAAGAGAGACAUCCAUUAAAACAAAGGAUUGAAAC
rnacentral:other from 1 species